UAUUUUUAUUUUUUUUUUAAAACGUCCGUGUAGGCCAAUAAGAAUAAGAUCGGUGUCCAUACAUGUGGUAAGCACCGCUUUUUUCAUCGAUUUUUGAGUCGGCUUUUUACCCCCAUUCAAUUUAGAUCAGUGUCCUCUCCACCGCUUCAUUUUCUUCCGGAUCCUCUACCGCCUCAUCUCCGCUUCUGACUUCUUAUCGGCCUUUGCUGGCGAUUUCCCCUAAACCAAGAAAACCGACAAGCCAAGAGUGUCGAUUCAUGCUCUGCGUCUAACCGAAGAUCCAAUCCCAGGUAUUUGUCCUUCGCUACCAUCAACAAAAGGGGAAGGACGGUCACAAGCCGACUGAUGACUUCAGCCGACACCCAGUUCAUCGCUUACCGCUCCAUCAUCCGCCCACAAUCGCCGCCCAACUACUUCUUCCAUAUUCACAUCGUCUUCUCCUUCAAUGGCAUCCAUAUAAUUUUGUCAGAUGAAUCUUCUUUGCAAGGUCAGUUAUGCUUGGGUACUAAAUUUGAAAACCCUGUUUAUGUUUUCUUUGUAUCCUUCAUUGAAGAGAUUUCUAGCAAUGGUUGAAGUAUUUGUUUAUUUUUGGUUUUAUUUGAUGUAAUUUACCGAUCAAGUUUUUCCAAAUUGGUUGUUGUCAAAUUCAUUUUUUUUUUUUUUUUUUGUAAUUUACUGAUAAAAUUUAUGUAGUUUCCUGUUUUCUGAGUUCAUAUAAUUGUUUUUAAUUAUUUUUUUUUUAAAAUUUGGUUCAACCCCUCAAUUCGUCGUUAUUUGGUUCAAUACAAAAUAUCUGGUGAUUCUAUCAUAUUCAUGAUUUUCCUUGAUUUUUCUUACUGAGCUAACGGAAAUGUAAUUGCUAUCGUAUGCUAAUCAUUUCAGGUUAUCUAAAGUCAACAAACUCAUAUUUUUGUCAACGUAAAUCAUGGAAAUUUCCGAAAUUGAAGAGAAUAUGUUUGCGCUGGGUGAACCGAAGGUUUACAAAGGAUGGAGUGUUAGCUUCCAUUUCAUCACCAAGUUUACAAUUUUGAUGAAACAACACAAAAGGUACAUUUUUUUUGUUUACUUAUAUCUGAUUCAUCCAUCAUCUAUAAUCAUCAUAUUAGUUUUUUAAAUCAACUUAUGUUACUAGACCUUGGGUAACCAUAU